rnacentral:rRNA from 1 species
AGACGGGACCCGCACAAGCGGUGGAUGAUGUGGAUUAAUUCGAUGCAACGCGAAAACCUUUACCUACCCUUGACAUGUCUGGAACCUUGCUGAGAGGCGAGGGUGCCUUCGGGAGCCAGAACACAGGUGCUGCAUGGCUGUCGUCAGCUCGUGUCGUGAGAUGUUGGGUUAAGUCCCGCAACGAGCGCAACCCUUGUCAUUAGUUGCCAUCAUUUAGUUGGGCACUCUAAUGAGACUGCCGGUGACAAACCGGAGGAAGGUGGGGAUGACGUCAAGUCCUCAUGGCCCUUAUGGGUAGGGCUUCACACGUCAUACAAUGGUCGGUACAGAGGGUCGCCAACCCGCGAGGGGGAGCUAAUCCCACAAAGCCGAUCGUAGUCCGGAUCGCAGUCUGCAACUCGACUGCGUGAAGUCGGAAUCGCUAGUAAUCGUGGAUCAGCAUGUCACGGUGAAUACGUUCCCGGGUCUU